UCCCUGGUGGUCUAGUGGUUAGGAUGCGGCACUCUUACUGCUGCGGCCCAGGUUCGAUCCCCGGUUAGGGAA